rnacentral:rRNA from 1 species
UCCGGCUGAUCCUGCUGGAGGGCACUGCUAUUGAAUUUCCACCUAGUCAUGCGAGUCUGAAAAGCACAGCUGAGUGCUUUUGGCACACGGCUCAGUAACACGUAGACAAUCUGCCUUUGAGAAGAGUUAAACCCGGGAAACUGGGUAUAAUGCUCUACAGGAAAAAGUAACUGGAAGGUCUUUUUCUUAAAAGAACUAACUUCAUGCUGUUAGUUUGCUCAAAGAUGGGUCUGCGGCGGAUUAGGCUGUUGGCGGGGUAACUGCCCACCAAACCGAGGAUCCGUACGGGCCUUGAGAGAGGUAGCCCGGAGAAGGAAACUGAGACAAGGUUCCUAGUCCUACGGGGCUCAGCAGUCAGGAAACCUUUACAAUGCACGAAAGUGUGAUAGGGGAAAUUCAAGUGCUAGCUUUGCUAGCUUUUGUGAGGUCUAAACAGCCUUGCGAAUGAGUGGGGGGCAAGAUACGUGCCAGCCGCCGCGGUAAUACGUACUCCACAAGUGGUGUCCACUAAUAUUGGGCCUAAAACGUUUGUAGCCUGUUUGAAAAGUCUUUGGUGAAAUCAAUGCGCUCAACGUAUUGAAGUGCCAAAGAUACUCUUAAACUCGAGACCGGGAGAAGUCAAGGGAAUUCUUGAGGUAACGGUGAAAUGUUAUGAUCUCAAGGGGACCACCCGUAGCGAAGGCGCUUGACUAGAACGGCUCUGACGGUGAGAGACGAAAGCUGGGGGAGCGACCCGGAUUAGAUACCCGGUUAGUCCCAGCCGUAAACGAUGUGGACUAGGUGUCCUAAUAUCUUUGAGAUAUGGGGGUGCCGAAGGGAAGCCUUUAAGUCUACUGCCUGGGAAGUACGCUCGCAAGAGCGAAACUUAAUGGAAUUGGCGGGGGCGCACUACAAGGGGUGGAUGCUGCGGUUUAAUUGGGUACAACCCCACACAACUUACCAAGGGCGACAGCAGAUUGAUGGUCAGUCUAAAGGGCUUACCUGACGCGCUGAGAGGUGUUGUAUGGUCGUCGUCAGCUCGUACUAUGAAGCGUUCUAUCAACUCAGACAACGGGCGAGACCCAUGUUCCUAGUUGCAAUUCUUUUCAUUGAAGAGGAGCACUCUAGGAAGACUGCAAAGGAAACUUUGAGGAAGGAGUGGGCAACGGUAGAUCUGUAUGGCCCGAAUCUCUUGGGCUACACGCGGCACACAAUGGUUAAGACAAUGGGCUCCGACUCCGAAAGGAGAAGGUAAUCUCCUAAACUUAACCUCAGUUCGGACUGAAGGCUGUAACCUGCCUUCAUGAAGUUGGAAUCCCCAGUAGUCGCGUUUCAUUAAAGCGCGGUGAAUAAGUCCCUGCGCCUUGCACACACCGCCCAUCAAGCCAGUUGAGUGGAGUUUUAAUGAGUUGCAAUUCAAAGCGAAAUGCAGCAAUUUUGAAUUUCGCAAGACGGGCUAAGUUGUAACAAGGUG